rnacentral:rRNA from 1 species
AUACGUAGGUGGCAAGCGUUGUCCGGAAUUAUUGGGCGUAAAGCGCGCGCAGGCGGUUCCUUAAGGCUGAUGUGAAAGCCCACGGCUCCCCCGUGGAGGGGCAUUGGAAACUGGGGGACUUGAGGGCAGAAGAGGAGAGCGGAAUUCCACGGGUAGGGGUGAAAUGCGUAGAGAUGUGGAGGAACACCAGUGGCGAAGGCGGCUCUCUGGUCUGUAACUGACGCUGAGGCGCGAAAGCGUGGGGAGCAAACAGGAUUAGAUACCCUGGUAGUCCACGCCGUAAACGAUGAGUGCUAAGUGUUAGAGGGUAUCCACCCUUUAGUGCUGUAGCUAACGCAUUAAGCACUCCGCCUGGGGAGUACGCUCGCAAGAGUGAAACUCAAAUGAAUUGACGGGG